UAGAUUUUUCCAGCAGAAAAA
rnacentral:piRNA from 1 species